GUGGGGAAUAUUGGACAAUGGGCGCAAGCCUGAUCCAGCCAUGCCGCGUGUGUGAAGAAGGCCUUUUGGUUGUAAAGCACUUUAAGCGAGGAGGAGGCUCCUUUAGUUAAUACCUAAAGAGAGUGGACGUUACUCGCAGAAUAAGCACCGGCUAACUCUGUGCCAGCAGCCGCGGUAAUACAGAGGGUGCAAGCGUUAAUCGGAUUUACUGGGCGUAAAGCGCGCGUAGGUGGCCAAUUAAGUCAAAUGUGAAAUCCCCGAGCUUAACUUGGGAAUUGCAUUCGAUACUGGUUGGCUAGAGUAUGGGAGAGGAUGGUAGAAUUCCAGGUGUAGCGGUGAAAUGCGUAGAGAUCUGGAGGAAUACCGAUGGCGAAGGCAGCCAUCUGGCCUAAUACUGACACUGAGGUGCGAAAGCAUGGGGAGCAAACAGGAUUAGAAACCCUAGUAGUCC
rnacentral:rRNA from 1 species